rnacentral:rRNA from 1 species
UACGGAGGGGGCUAGCGUUGUUCGGAAUUACUGGGCGUAAAGCGCGCGUAGGCGGCUUUGUAAGGUAGAGGUGAAAGCCCGGAGCUCAACUCCGGAAUUGCCUUUAAGACUGCAUCGCUUGAAUCAUGGAGAGGUGAGUGGAAUUCCGAGUGUAGAGGUGAAAUUCGUAGAUAUUCGGAAGAACACCAGUGGCGAAGGCGACUCACUGGACAUGUAUUGACGCUGAGGUGCGAAAGCGUGGGGAGCAAACAGG